UACAGAGGGUGCGAGCGUUGUCCGGAAUCACUGGGCGUAAAGGGCGCGUAGGUGGCGCUCCAAGUCCGUGGUGAAAGCUCGAUGCUUAACAUCGAGUCGGCCACGGAGACUGGAGGGCUCGAGCACUGUAGGGGCAGAUGGAAUUCCGGGUGUAGCGGUGGAAUGCGUAGAGAUCCGGAGGAAGACCGGUGGCGAAGGCGGUCUGCUGGGCAGUUUCUGACACUGAGGCGCGACAGCGUGGGGAGCAAACAGG
rnacentral:rRNA from 1 species